rnacentral:SRP_RNA from 1 species
CACCCGGGUAAGUGCCACGCGACGAGCUCCCCGCGAAUCCCCCAGGUCUUGACCGAAGCAAGGGUAACGGGUUGAGCAUGUGUGAUGUGGAGAGCUUACCCACC